CCAGACAGGCUCCAGUACACCACUGUUGGGAGUGAACCAGUUCAUCUACAAAGUGGACAAAGAUCACUGCUUUCAUGGGGGUUGUCUUUUCACCUUGCUUAUACUUUCCUAUAAGAAAAUGAUGCAAAGAGCUGAAUCAUUUGAAAAGACCCUGAUGUUGGGAAAGAUUGAAGGCAGGAGGAGAAGAAGACAACAGAGGAUGAGCAUGCUAGAUGGCAUCACCGGCUCAAUGGACAUGAGUUUGGGACUUUCCGAACUAUGUUGAAUAAUAAUGGUGAAAGUGGACACCCUUGUCUUGUUCCUGAUCCUUUAUUAAUGAUGACAAUGAAACCAAACCAGACAAAAUGCAGCAACUGCAGAGGAAUGUAGAUUAUCUUUGGCCUCUGAAAUGCUGGGAUGCAAAACUUCUUACUUAUAAACAAGUCCAGCUCCAGAAGAUCAAUGGCUGGGCUCACCAGACAAAUGGGGAACAAGUGGACUGGGUUUGAGGAGUUUUCAAAGAGCAGGUGUAAAGCGUUACAAGGCCUGUUUCUCCCUGGCAGGGCAAAGAUGAAGUCACAGGAAGGAACACAUUGGAAACAGGAAUAUGACAGAGCUCUUGUUCUUCAAUUCUCCUCCCAGAGGCACCAGAAAGGAGAAACAGCACCAAGGCCUGCUCCUGUGACUUCAGGAGGCCAUUGUUUCAGACACACAGGACUAAGGAUAAUUCCAGCAAAGCUGGGAACCAGCAGAGGAAGUCUGUGAGCUUCAGGGAGACUC
ensembl:lncRNA